UACGUAGGGUGCGAGCGUUGUCCGGAAUUACUGGGCGUAAAGAGCUCGUAGGUGGUUUGUCGCGUUGUUCGUGAAAACUCACAGCUCAACUGUGGGCGUGCGGGCGAUACGGGCAGACUGGAGUACUGCAGGGGAGACUGGAAUUCCUGGUGUAGCGGUGGAAUGCGCAGAUAUCAGGAGGAACACCGAUGGCGAAGGCAGGUCUCUGGGCUGACACUGACGCUCAUGCACGAAAGCGUGGGGAGCAAACAGG
rnacentral:rRNA from 1 species